rnacentral:rRNA from 1 species
UGCUAGUCGUGCGCCUCCAGCCACGGUGGAGGCGCGGCGCACAGCUCAGUAACACGUGGCUAACCUGCCCUUGGGACGGGGACAACCCCGGGAAACUGGGGCUAAUCCCCGAUAGGCGAGGACACCUGGAAUGGGUCUUCGCCGAAAGGGCGUCUAGACCAUGCUUCUAGACGCUGCCCAAGGAUGGGGCCGCGGCCGAUCAGGUAGUUGGUGAGGUAACGGCUCACCAAGCCUAUAACCGGUACGGGCCGUGGGAGCGGGAGCCCGGAGAUGGACAUUGAGACAAGGGUCCAGGCCCUACGGGGCGCAGCAGUCGCGAAACCUCCGCAAUACGCGAAAGCGUGACGGGGUCACCCCGAGUGCCGUCCGCUGAGGACGGCUUUUCCCCAGUGUAGCCAGCUGGGGGAAUAAGGGGAGGGCAAGUCGGGUGUCAGCCGCCGCGGUAAUACCCGCUCCCCGAGUGGUGGGGACGCUUAUUGGGCCUAAAGCAUCCGUAGCCGGCUGGACAAGUCCCCUGUUAAAUCCAGCGAUUCAAUCGCUGGACUGCGGGGGAUACUGUCCAGCUAGGGGGCGGGAGAGGCCAGCGGUAUUCCCGGGGUAGGGGUGAAAUCUUAUAAUCCCGGGAGGACCACCAGUGGCGAAGGCUGCUGGCUGGAACGCGCCCGACGGUGAGGGAUGAAAGCUGGGGGAGCGAACCGGAUU